CUUCUGUUGGAAAUUAGCUGGAAGACAAAGAAGCCAUGUGUUGUGACAGGGCAUGCUUACUGUACCGGUGUGGUUGGGAUUUCCGGUGCACGACCUUCUGGGCAUGGCUGCACAGGUAAUUAAAGCUCAUUUGGAUUCUUUCUACAUCUCUGCUGACAGCGCUGUUUGGGGCAAGACUUUAGGAGACAAAAGUAGUUUGGCAGAUUUUUAUUUGGCUCUGGGGCUGAUGUGACUCCAACCGAGAAAGACAGGAAGAGGAGAGAAAGAGGAAAGGAAGUUGGACAAAACUCGGAUGUGGAAGAAGUGUGUGUGUGUGUGUGUGAAUGGAGAAGUCAGGAGAGUUUAGGGGGCAGUGUGUUUAAGCAGAGAUAGGCAGCAGCCUGUACAGGAGGCUUUGUGACCUACAUUGAGGUGGGAAGGGCUGAUAAAAAGAGAAAAGGAGUUAGAGACAGGGCAAGCAGAGGAAAGAGGAGAAGGAAAAUAAGAAGCAGGGAAAAAAGUAGGGGACAAAGCGGCCAGAGAUAGAGGUGAAAGAAAAACGAAAGGUAAAUAGAGGGAGAAGGGAGCAGGAGAGGAGAAAUCCAAGGGAAAGAAAAAAGGAAGCAGGCAAAAAAAAAAAAGAAGAAGAAAAAAAAAAAGAAAAGUGUUGGGUUUCAAAUCCAGCGCUCCCGACAGUAGCAUGCCAGAUGACCUUGGGCAUGUCACACUGCCAUCUGUUCCCUCUGUCUGGCCUGUCAACAUACCUCUAACUCCAGUUAAAACAUGACAUUCCAGCUUCUUUACACACCGAGGGGCAGCCGUCGUCACCCCGAGUGAGCAAGAUAGAGAGACACAUACAGAGAAAGAAGAGAGGAGAGAGGGCGGGAGUGACGGAGAAUCCGUAGAGACAUCAUAAGACGUGGGGAGGGAGGGAGGGAAGGAGAGAGAGAGAGAUAUAGUAGGCAGAAGAAAAGAGUGACCUUUUCUCCAACAGCCCGUCUUUAUGAGCUGAUAUUGUUAUCAAUGUAUUACUCCCUGGAUGGCCACUACAGCUACAAUAACGCCAUUGAACCGACAGUCCAUCAUCAUAGGACAAAGAGGGGCGCUAACACUGACAUCCUAUGGGGCAUUGGGUUGCAACUGAUUGCACUCGUAAAUGAGCGUGGCUCUCAUAAAAUCAUGUGGUAACUGCUUAGCGGUGCACAGGGUGAUGGCUUUUGUUAUCAACAGCUCGAGUGGCGCUCGCAGGUUGCCUGUUUGUUGUAGCAUCAGACUUGCCGGGUCGUGAUUUCAGAUGUGGAGCUAAUCAUGCAUCAAGUGAAAUGUGUUAGCACAACACCAAAAGCAGCAGUGGAAUUAUUUUUCCAAUUUUUGUUGGCUUUUUUUUUUUUUUCACAAUUUAAUCUAGUAUUGGAAUUAUCUAAAAGCAUUUACAUUUUUCUCUCUUGUUCCUUUUUUCCUGUCGUCACUUGGAUAAGGUUUCUAAAAGAGUAGGCAGUGAAAGACUUAUUCCGGCAGCUGGAAAAAUCAGAGCGCUGAUGGGUUUCGAUCUUAGCGAGGAAGAAGGCUCCCAAGGCGGCAGAACACAUAACUAUCCCUGGAUACAUGCUUUUUAUAUGUGGCACUAAAUACUCAUUAAUUCCUAAUGACAUGAGCUGGAUGUUAGCUUGGCAGAAUCAUGAGGUUGCAGACAUGAAACGAUGUUUAGCAAAAUUAUAAAUAAACAAAAAUAAAUAUGAAAGAGUAGGAUGAUUUUCCACAUCCCUUAAUACAGCUGCAGCAUAUAAGUAGAGUUUUCAAAAAAGGGCAAAAAAGUGGGACAUGUCGACGCUCAAACUGAGUUUCCCUUCUUCCAGAGGUAUUAAAAACCGUCUCCAAUAGGUUUUUAAAUUCAUUACACUUAUCACUGUAGGACCACCAAUUACUUUCCCAUUUUAAUAAGCGGAUUCAGGCUGUCUCCCUUUGCUCUUAUGCAACAUUUUAGGUUUGUUGACCCACAGUCAGAGUCACAUUUACCAAGAGACAGAGGGAUUUAGAUUCCUAUCAGGUUUGAUAUUGCUAAUGAGUAGUUGGAGCGAGCUGCACUAUCCAUUACCAUUGUGUUCACAGGUGUUAUUUUCACAAGGAGGGCUUUAAUGCAGCCUGCUAAGUAACCUAACUGCAAUGAAAAUGUGGUAUAUUUGGACUGCUACCUUUCUGUGGGAAAUCAAAGCUGACUGUACAGAGAGGGAGCAGAGAGAGAGAGAGAGGGAGAGAAAGUUGUAAACUGGGUCAAGAAGAAACCUUGCUGCAAAAUGAGCAAAUCUGUAAAAUAAUCCCUUCAACUGCAAGCUCACUACUUAAAACCACCACUGAGCUCUUAUUUGGUUUUCUCUUCCUCUCUUAAUGUAUUCUCUUCAGUUCCUGAGAAAGUUCAAUUUCUGCUGCCAAGUGAGGUGACAUGCCACACUGACACUAAAGAACAACUUCUACAAAAAGCAUGAAGGGACUGGGCCAAAAACCAGAGAGAUAAUGACACCUGUGAGCAUAUUCCCCGCCCUAUUCUGGAUGGAGUAAUUGCAUUUUAAGUUGCAGACUUGAAAGAAUUCAUUGUCUGUGGUUUCCACAUUUCCCCUCACGUAACCUCAUGCCCUACAAAACAACAGCAUACUUUCCCUGCAGCCCUUACGGGAUUAGGGGAGGUAAUUCUACAAAGACCAGGCCUUGCUCUCGCCUCCUCAUCCUUCGCUGACUGAUACGUAAGGGAAGUGGGACCCUGACCUACUCCUGACUCUGGGAAAUUGCUCUGACCUCUCUGCAUUUUUGGGAGGAAGCCAGACCUGGCACAUACGUGCCGGGGUGCUGGGGCAGCCUCCUCUGACCCCAAGGACCUUUAGCUGGCCGAAACCCUUUCGGCCAUUUAUUCACAUGAACACACACACACACACAGGUUGCUCCUGUUGGAUGGAUUGUGUUACCUCUUAGAUGUGAUGGCUGCCUCUGUUUUGCAUCCUCUCACCGUUUUCAUCCUGGGAGCCUCGUAUGCCCCAGUCAUUAACACCACUAGCCUCCCUGUUCUGGCAGCUGAAAGGUCUGCAUUCAUGAGAGCCGUCCUGGAAACCAGAUGUGCCCACGCUGUGAGAAUAUGUGUGUUUGUGUACAUGCUUAUAGGCAGUGGAUACAGCAAUAUACAGAGUGUUUUGGAGCUGCACAUCAGGCUGUGUGUGUGUCUGUGUGGGAGUGACUGAGGCCCACAGGACACUCAUGGUGCACAGGUCACCUCUAAAAAAAGGGGGAUCUGGGGUUUGAGGACCCCAGACACCUAAAGACAUAUCCAAACAUACUGGUGUAAUUGUGUGUAGUUUACUUUUUUUGAGUGUUCAGAACUCAUCUGAUAUGAAACCUCCCAAAUUCUUAGACUUCUUUUUAUAGACGCUUUUAUAUUUUAUGAGAUUUGCUUCCCAACAAAAACAACUACCAAAAAACAAAUAAGAAAACAACAUAUUGCUCCACUUUCCCAAGAGUCAUCCAGACUUGCAGAUAUUUUCAGUUUCAUUUGCCAACAAUUUUUCAGAUGUCAUGCGCUGAGAGAGCCACUAGAAAACAGUCCCUAAUGAAAACUGGGGCCAGCAGGGUCUGUGGAUUGCAUGAAGUAACCAGGCUAUUGUUUCCAGACAGACAUAUUGCUGAUGAGGCUUUCAAAUAUAAUAGCAUUUCAAUAGUGUGACGGCAGAAUCCCAAGCAGCAAAUAUCUAAAAACCACAGCAAAUCAAACCCAGACCUUCUCUACGUCGUGAAAGUUGGGGGAAAAUUCUUGUCAUUUCAGAAAACUAAACAUUUCUAUAUGAUUAUAUAUUGGGAAACAUUCAUGCGUACACUGUGAAUGAGUAUGAAUAUAAAAAUCCAACUCUGACAGUUUUCCUCCCAUCAUAAUUUUUUCUAUUCACCUCCACAGAAUCCGUAAUAUUUAUAAUUUUUAACCACUAUGAUUCCCCUAAAUUCAGUCUGUGGAAGAUCGCAGGGAAAUCUUCACCGCUUAAAUGUUAUACCUGGGAAAUACAGAUGAACAGAAGUUAUUAAACACACCAUAGGAUGCCAUGAAAUACAACUAUCGGCUUUAAUUAGGGAGCUUUAAUUCUCUUCUUUAAUUCACUUUUCCAAAACAUAUCUCGCAGUGAAGAUGCCAAAUGCUACCAAAGAGUCUCUGCCGCCCACUAAAACACAAUGCUACUGCCAGGGCUUCAACUAAAUGAAAAUACUGAAUAUGUUUCAGGGUCAAUCAUUUUCUUCCUGUGAGAGCCCCGCAAACACAGACAGAGCUGAAGUAGCAAUCCAUUUUGACUAAGUCACAAAGCCUGUCAUGUAAGACUGUAUAAAGCAGUGGGCCUAUUCCUCAUGUCAGUGGCUGCUCACUCAUGGUAAGGACAAAAGACAUUUUAUUCACAUUUAGAAGGACAUAAAAGGUCUGUAAUGGCAGCCAAACAGGAACUGCACCCAGAGUUACUCCAAAGGACCAUCUUUGUUUUUAAAUUUUAUUUUCCUUGAAGAUUUUCUGCAAUAUCACUUGAGUAAUUCUACUUUUCCAGUGCUUUUGGUAAUAUCAAGCCAAGGCAACUGGGAAGCCAUUUUCAGUGGAUGCGACACAAAAACAGUGCCUUUGGAUGGGGGAAUAGCAAGCCCCUUAGCCCAUUUGGGCCGGUACAGUCACAAAUAUAUUCCCUCUAUUCCAAUUUUCAUGACCACGGAAAUCCUUACGCAGGAGACAGCUUCAUUAUUAGCGCGCCUUGCACAGAGCUCAAUGGCAGGAUAUUGCAUAGAGAAGCAUAUAACAGCCGAGCAAUUUGAGUUGGGCAGCUGGGCAUGCAGGUAUUGUAAUUUUAAUUCCCUUCUCUAUUCCCACGCCCUGUACAGUGGGCUGUUGUUCCUUUCAAAGGAAUGUAGGUAACAUUUCUCUGAAAAGAGCUCUAUGUGCUGAAACUAUGAGGUGUACAGCAAGGCAGAAAAGCUUUUUUACUUAAAUUAUGGACCACUUGUAGCACAUUCGCUGUUUCCACUCCACAUUCAACUCAACAUUCAAAUUCAGGCUUAUCACAUGUGGACUUUGACAAUAAAGAGAAGAAAACACCUGCUGAGUGUUUCUUUUUUUGUCCCGGUUGAGUGCACAGUUGCAGAGAAAAAUAUUUUACCGGUACCUUUUAACCUUUUAAGAAGUUCAAAGCAAGCGUCACCUAAAACUGUAAGCUUUCUUCUUUAUCUUGAGUAUAUUUUAAUACACGAGAGCUUCAGCUUCCAUCCCCACAUUUGUGGAGUAAAAUGCCUCCCUGUUAUCCUCCAUCUAAAUGGCCAUUAGCUGGACUAACCUAAUUAGUGGAACAAGAUCUAACACAGCCUUCCAUUGUCCUUCCAUCACAGGAAACAGUAGAGGUUUGCUGCAUUCUGAUCAAAUGUAUGGUGAUUAAUGACCGCGCUCUCACUAUGUUGACAGGCUGUAACGGCUCAAAAUCUCGCCCCACACUGAUGCUACACAUAUUUGUCUGUAUAACUGACACUUGAAGGAAUAAAUUGGGCAAAAGCUCCAUCACCAACCUGGCUACCUAUACCCAAAUUUUCCCCAAAUGAACAACGGGGAGUGAGAUGCUGUCAGGACUGCGUUCCCUCCAUGACAUGCCAAUCUAUGCAUUGGGAAUAAUGACAGGGCUAAAAAUAUUAGACACUCGCCAGCAAAUUGCUUAAAGGUUUUUUUAAUUAUACGGAUGAGCUGUCGAGCAGUCAUGCUUGACAGAGUAUAGAAACAAAUGAUGUAAUGGCUGAAUGAGGAAGAGUUUGGUGGGCACAACCACAAGAAGCUCCUGACUGUCAGGGGCGAGUUUAUAAAAUCUUCAACAAACAAUAUUCUGUUGUAUAUAUUUGACCCAAAUACAAGGAAAAGAUUCAUUUUGUUUUUGCCUGUUCUUAGUAAAAGAAAGGAAAGGCCAAAAGUUCUGGCUGAGCUGUUCAAAUCGAAGGCAAGUGGGUGAAAUGGAUAAAAUGCACAGCAGGAAGCAUGUCUGUGUAUGUGGGUCAUUUUCUCGGCCUCAAGCAUGUUUUAUUUACAGUCCUCUCUACACACAACACUUGUGCACUGAUGCUAUAAUGCUGUGUAAGACAUUUUUGAUUCAGGAGCGAAAAACAUGAGCUCAUGGAGAUGACUUAAACAGCUUAAAUCAAUUAGAGAAAGAAACGCAGCGGUCGUAUCACAUCUUUCUUCAAGAUUACAGGUUGAUUUGCAUCAAGAUAUAAGGGAAACACAAACCCAAAUAGUAUAAAAGACUGAUGAUCUGUGCUACAGGAGAAAGAGCAGAUUUAAAACAAAUACAAUAAAAGGAAAUAUAUGAGAAUAGAAAAGACCACAGCAACGAAGUCAGACAGAGAGAAACAGGGGAAUAGAAGGAAGAGAGAGAGAGAGAAAGAGAGAGAGAGAGAGAGGCUCUCAGCCUGUGAGGUGCAUUUAAAUUAUCCCCAUUCGAAAAAAAUAGAAAGUUGGAAGCACUUAUCAAGCUAUAAAUCUCCAGCCCAGGAAUUAAAAAAAGUAAAAAAGAAAUAACAAACACCAAACGUCAUGCUGCUUUGAAUGUCUGCCGUCUUUCCCCCACACGGCAGGAGUUCAAAAGAAUAAUAACUUUGCCCUCACUCAUCACCACCCAGAGAAGCGUUAGGGCAGCUCGUAAUAUUGUUUUUUUCUUUCUUUUUUUUUUUAAUUAGUAACUCUAAUCUGAUCAUUAGGGGCAGCAGAAACCAGCACAGCUAUAGUACAACUGUGAGCAGGGCUAGUAAUUGAAGUGACAAAGGCGUCGUAGUUGGAAUAGUCACAUCUGUCUGACGACACUUUGAGCCAUUUCUACCAGAUUACGUGCUGUGACCAGAAGGCAAAGGGGACCUUAAUUGGGAAAUAUUGUGUGGGAGGGGAAAUAGAAGUGUGGCAAUGAUAGAGUGCAUGAAGAAAGUAAUCAGGAUUAACAUGUCAAGUUUUCUACGUUUGCUUUGGUUUGGCUGUAGGAGCAAAAUAUUCAGAAACAAAGGCUAAUAAUCUGGGCGUAGAGGUUAAAAGCCUCUGCCCCUCGACUUGUUGUGACAAAUCCAUCAUCCUCAGAAGUUCAGGGAAGCAACGGAAAAAUGAAAACUUAACAAAGACUCUAGCUAAAGGAGGUUAAGAGACUACGAGAGCAAUAGCCAGAAGGUUUGAGGAUGGAGACUGGAUGGAGGUAAAGCGGUGGAGUGGUACUGUAAGGCCCGCUGAUGGAGAACAGAUGGAAAGAGCAGGGGGUUGUGAUUAGCGCUACAUGGGGACCAGGUCUCUGUAGUGCUCAGUGUCUAGUAGUGGUUGGCCCUGAGGCGCCUUCCUCCGCUCUCAUUCCCCUCCCAUGGUACUACCGUCACUGGCCAGAGAAUCCCAGCAUGCUUGCUUGCUAUCCCAUCCACUCAGCGCUGCACAUGAAAAAAAAAAAAAAGACAAGAAAAAAAAAACAAGACCAUUUCUCAACAUUCUCGUUCUGGCAUAAACAAGACAUCCCGUUGGCAUGAAACUGUCCCUGGAGGAAUUACACGCUUGGUCUCAUCGUUUACAUCUCCUCCAUGCUGGAUGAGUCUAAAAUUUACUCGGAGAUUGGCUUUAUUAUGAUGCUGCACAUUUGUCACAUUAUUACCACAGAUUUUGCCUUUGUUUUGCAUUUAUCUUUUUAUUAUGAUUUUUUCCCCCUUUACACACCCAAUCCUGUGCUGAACUCCCCAGAUGCUUCAAUUCAACCAUCACUCAGCACAGCACAAUUUCAGCCAAAGCCUCAGUCGGACGAAUUAGGGUAACUCGAGCUGAGCCAGAUUGUAAUCAAAGCGAAAAUAAUGAGUGCAGGACAAAGGCCGGCACUAUUACUCUAGCUGGCUUAACAUUUCUCUCCCUUAGCUUUUUUCCUCUUUUCUCUCUCUCUCUCUCUCUCCUCUGUAAGAGUCCACAGAAAUACAAACAAACAGCAGAACAGAGGGGGGAAUAAAGCAGAAAGGAUAGGGCAGCUCAGGCUGGUUGUGAAGGCAUAAGACAGAGAGAGUGUGAGGGCUAAACAGAGAGAAGUAGAGAGCAGGGCAGUGGGCCUGUACUCGCCUCCACAGCCGGGGACUUGCAAAUGAACUAAUCACCUGAGGGGAUUCUUCUCAGCUUACUUAAACAACCAGUAAGUUAAACACACAUGCUUCACAGCCAUCGCUGUGUAGGGGUUUGUGCGGGUGCGUGUGUGUGUCUAUGUGUCCUCAUGGGUAUGUGAGCAUUUGUGACCUGCUGCCCAACUGACUGAGGCAAGCAGCAGGCCGUCAAAAUAAGAAGGCAUCUGUUCCAGACAUGCUGGCUGAGGCAGAGAGACAGUUAGUGAGACGAACUGGGAGCGAGGCCGGAGCCAGGGAUGAGAUCAGUGUACGGUGGCCCUCUUUGAGGUUUUCUGAUUGUCUUUCUUUGCAGUAAUACAGGGAAACUAAAUGAUAUGUGACUGCAAUUUGUAACGAAAACAUGGGGCCUCCUGCAAAUUAGGCAUGCUGCAGUACUUCCACCUCUUUGCUAUGCACAUUCAAGAGGCUCUUGGUUAUGGCAAGAAGAAAGAAAAUGAAAACAGGCUAAAGAGGAGCAAAAGGGGAGAAAAGUGAGGAAUUUUCUUUAUUUUCCUGUUGUGACUCUCUUUGAUUCAUGUUCCACCAAAUAUUUCAGACAUCACAGCUUUUGAGGAUGUUUUGAACUGCUGCUUUGUUGACUAGAUACACCGGGGGGAUUUCAGAAGUAAGUAAAAGGCUAAAAAGAGGAAGAACAAUUUAAGCGGCCAAAUGUUGCCACUGAAGCACUAUCAUUCAGGGAAAAAUGAAUAUCAUACACCAAUUCUGCUAUUUCAUCUGCACUGUAGUAUUUGUACAAAAGCUGGCCAAACAUCAAGUCUGGAUUCUUGCACUCCUUCCAUCCAGCCCUCUGGUCUCCUCUCAGAGCUACUGUCUGACAAUACUGUGAUACAGGCUCAGAGGCAGCUGCACGAGCAACAUAAGAAAUUCUGUAAAUUUCACACUCUGCUGCCUGCCAAAAAACCCUGGGCCCAGAUUCGGUGAUUUGGCCUCUCAAGUCUCUUUCCAAUCUUCCCCCUCGCAUGCCACCAGCAGAGGACCUUGUUCGUUCAGCAUCCCUGUUUUGGAUGCAGCUCUCAGAAUAAAAAAACAAAAAAAAAAACAUCUUGGAGUCACUGGCUACGGGGUCACUUCAAACAAGUCAGAACAUGCUCAGAUCUGUGGCGCUGUGCAAUUUGCAUCAUGUGCAGAGACGCCACGAGGAAACCAAUUACAAGACAUGAUGGAAGAGAAACUGAACAAAAAACAGGGGGAAAAAAAGACGUAAUCAAAGCAAACAAGAGCCAAUGUGAGGAAAACUUCUCCUGUUAGUACUUAGUAAAAAUGCUGUUAUACUAUUCAUGUGAAGGCCAGAUAGACUUGGAUUGUGGCGCAACACUACUCAAGCCCCUCUCUUAAUGACUUCAUGUACAGUACAGCAGAUGCAUGAUCGCUGCGUUUUUGUUUCUGUGUCUUAUUUCCUGCCAAGAAAAACACAGAACCUCCCCUUUAAUUCCAUCUGACCAGUGUUUACUUUAAAGAUGAGCUGUAGGUUACUGACACUAUCAAGGGAUUGUUAUGCAUUUUGAUGCUUUGAUGCCUAGAGGAGGCAGAGGGAAUUUAUUGAUGGGAAAUAGAGGUCCUGAGUCGGGCAAUUUAUAGGUCCUUCUUGGUCUUAUGUGGGAACAAAGAAGUUGAGUGAAUCACAUUAAACGUGUGCGUGUGUGGUGUGCAGAGUUUUCAGCAGGGAGAAAGUUUACAAAGCUUUGUGUCGAAUGCUCGGGGAUAAUACUCGCUGCACUGCAUCUAAAUUUAAUGUACAUGUGUAGUUUUUAAUGCAUAAAUAGAAUAAAAGAAUGAUUUUUUUGUGUCAGAAGUUCAUAGCUCUUUGCAAUUUGUAUCUGUCAAUUUAUGUAACCAGUGCGUUUUCUUUUUGUGCCGUCUCUUCCUCCACCGACCACUUGAGUGAAAUGAAAUACCAAUGUCUGCCAACCAAGCGUACAGAUUUUACGGUGCUUUUCUACAGCACAAGCAUUUUCCUUCCGUACAAUUUUCAAGCACAAGGAAACCACUAAACACGGCGUUCCACAAUUGAAUUACCUCUCUGUUUCCCAGUCAUUGGGGAGUUAAUAGCUGGUUACAUGUUGCUGUUACAUGUUAUGUGAAAUAUUUAUUGUGCAACUGGCUGCAUGGCAGCUUAAAAGUGCUUUAAACCUGGAGAGCCGCCAGACCGCAAGCACAGCACUGUAAAUUAAAGGUGAAUUAACCUAAAAAUAAUUUAGGAGUUUGAAAGGGAAAUAUGGAGAAGGAAAUCUGAGCUGCUUUAAAUUAUGUUGUAUUUUACAGAUACUGUAAAAAUAGAGAACAUGAAGCUAAAAAAGUUAUAAAACCACUGCUGCACACAGUUUUGCAACACUGCAUAGCACAUGAGCAUGAGUGUUUUUGUUGGUCAGUUCCUGGUUGCAUUUGGAUGAGGGAAGCGUCUUGUAAGGGCAGCCAGUGGGUUUCAAUCAGGAGCUGGGUUUGUUUUGCAGCAUCCCCGUAAUUAACUGAUUGAUAAUUUCUGGGUUGGUUUCCCUUAAUUACGGGGCUGAUUGUACAUGAAUGUGGUGAUCCAGUGAAUUGGAAGCAACUGACACAAUGUGGAACACCUCCUCCAGAUUUCUGCCAUGACUGGUCAACACACACACUCUGUUGCUGCUCCUCAAAUGGUGCUAAAAAAUUUCCCCCGCCUUGCCCCCCUUCAUCACACUUAUAUUACCCUGUUAGAGACGCAGAGUAAGCUGGAUUUUUUUUAAGCCUAACUUUAUAUAUAAAUAUUUAUGUUGAAGAUAUACUAUGCUUUUUUUCACAUUUUAUCAGUCUUUUGAUGAAGUAACAUUAUCCAGCGACAUGUGUGUGAGUAAGGUUCUGCAGAAAGAUAUUGUCAUUUGUAUAAAACCAUAAACAAUAAGCAGAAAGCUAAAAAAUAUCUCAAAGUCAAUCAUAAAACUCUCAUUUGUUACCCUGAAAAUCUCUUUGAAAGCACAAGCUGUGAUGGAGUGACACAGUUUCAGUGGGAGGAUCAUGCCUGCUGUCCAAGGCCAAGGGCUUUAAAAAGACAUUCGGCCUAGGUCACAUUCACAGUGCACAUAUUUAAGCCUGUUUAUUUAAGCCUCACUUUGCAUGAUUUGGAAGGAGAAUUUCUGUUUUUUUUACUCUGCACUUCGUUUGUUUGCCAAAUAGUAGCAUAAAAAUUUUACUUUUUCAAGUUACUUUUUUUGCGUCAUGUGAGAACAUUUCUUUUUUCAUUUCCAGAACUUUAUAUUAUAGUUUUAUUUUGUUUGAGUAGUAGCAGGUACCAAUGUAAUGCACAUAAAAAGUGGUCUGAGAUGGAAGGUUGUACAUGAGCUAGACAGAUGAUUGAAGAAGUCCAAAAGUGGCUCUGCUAUGUGGAGUAGUGCUCUGCAGCAGCUGCAAUCAAGGCCUUUAUGGUGGCCAUUACUCCCAGCUGAUGGGGGAAGCAGAACCUCCUCAUAAUGGCUGUCUGAGCAAGACAGUGAAACGUCCACAACCUCUAAACUAUCCAUGGCCCAGUUGCUCACCUUCCAGUGACAUCAACGACUUUACCACGAGGCAGGAAAAAUGAAAAUAAAGAUUGCGUUCAAUGCUCUUGUAUAAGUACUUUGUCUUAAUCCUCAAAAAAUGAGAAACAGUUGUAAGACAACUGUGUUUGUAAUAGCAGGUAAUAGUAAUAUCAAUUUCAGUGCUGGUGGUACCUCUGAGGUAUGGGGCUUCCUUUGUCUGGGGAUUGCUCUUUGGCAAAGGACCAAUAAGGUAAGCUUUGUGGGAUUUUCUCAUCUCUUUAUUUCAACAUCUCCUGCAGAGGUAGGAGGAAAAUCUUUCAGUAAACAGCGCUGAGAGGGAAACUCAAAUUCAGACCAGGACAGAGAAGCAUAUGUCUGCAAUUCAGCCUUAAGUCCAAAUGAAGUCACAGUAGAUGUUUGUUUACUGUUUCAUCAACAUUGCAGCAUGCUUUAGUAAUGCUGGCACCACUGCUGAGUGAUCACAUAAUUUGUUUGCAUGUGGAAGUGUUUUUCUGUGACUUUGUAGGAGGGAUUUUCUAAACAGCUCAUUGUUUUUUUCUGAAAUAUUGAGAUAAGAGCUGAGGGAAAUUUAUGACAACCUCUACUUGUAUAAUCUUUGAAGAUGAAAAGAUCAAGCCGAAAGAAGUAAGUCCCAAGAUUUAGUAUGACAGCGCAAAAAGGAAAAAAAAAAAACUCUGAGGUGAAAGAAAGCAUAAAAAUGCUUUCUCAGUGCACACAGCGAGGAAAAACACAUUCAUUGUAAAUCUGAAUCUUCUGGAGCUGCUGCCUUGAUCUAAAAAAAAAAAGAAAAAAAAAAAAAGAAAAAAACUUUCACUACCUUUCUAUUGUAUAAGAGCCCAUGGAGCCAUCCAUCACUAUUUUCCACAGUGCUUUACCACCCAAACUGCACGCUGAAAAAAUGCCGUGCAGCAUGGCAGAGGAUUUUUGGCCUCUGAAAACUGAACAGAGUGAGCUUCACUUAAGAUCUAUAACCAAAUUAUUCCCAGCCAGAUGGAAUAAAAAUUAUAGUUAUUGUUUUAUUGAUCCAAAAGAAAUUUAUCAAAAAUUAAAAAUGAUAUCUUGACCAAAUAUUUAAAAAUUAAAAUAAUAAUAAUGAUAAUAAAGACAAUAUGAAUGUACGUCUAAAAUGAGGCUUCCACGUUCUAUUAUAAAAUAUAAACUAAACUCACCUUUAUAUAAAAUCCAACCAACAGCAGAGACGUGUCGGUUUAAGAUUUUCGGAUUGAUUUUAAGAGGUCAAAGUUGAACAAAAUGGACAAGAUAUGGUUUGAAUGAUAAAAGAGAAUGAAUGAAGGAAAAAAAAACCCAACAAACCCCCGAAGAUCCCUUAAUUCUGUAUUCAUAACAUCAAAUCUGACCAAACCCUCAUAGGUUAAGUCUCGGUCAACAUGUUCUCCUUUCAGCGUUAACAGAAUCAACAGUAAAUUAUACAUGAGGAGCAAGCUUCUUCCUAACCCGUUAAAAAACAACCUAACCUGCAGGUCAGGCAGCAGACAGCACUAACAGAAUCUACCAUCGCACCUUUCCUCGUCGUGUCAACUGGGAUAAUAAGGGGCCCGGCUGGGGGCAUGACAUGAACACAUUCUGAUACUGCAGCGGAACAAAAGUGGGGCCACUGAGCGUCCCUGUCAAGUGCCAGAGAAUAGAAAUACAGUCAUUGAAUAGCCAUGCAGCCAAAUCCAACAGCACUGUGCCUCCAGACAAUAGGUGCGGUGCUAAUCCCUCUUCAUGUGGUCUGCAUCCCCUGUCAUGCCCAGCGGUGAACCAUGCUGAGAUGCUGCGUUGGCGACUGACACUUCGACAAAGGCGGCGUCCCGGGAAACUGUUGGGCCUGUGUGCUCUGCACUGCUGUGCAUGGAAUCUGCAUUGGGGGGAAUAAAAGAGAUGAGCAGUGUGUUUAACAAUAAGCUGCCUGGGUGCCGAGACCCCCGUAAAGAGACUCGGUGUGGCCACCCAUCAAAAGCUCUUGAGCCCAACACUUGAUGCUGGCAGACAGUCCAGCCCACGCCCACCCCCUAUGCCAUCCUUGGCUAUCAGUCCUGUGUCUGAGCUCGGUCUAGUCAGGCCUGCUUCUCUGUCCUCUGCUCUGCUCUGCUGGAUUUGACAGCUGUUACCGGGGAAGGUUAUUCACCCAGCGCAUCUCUCCAUACACACACAAUGACCCCACAGCCCCCGCCUGUCUAGCCAACCAGCUCUUAUGCUGGGCGACCAACAGACAAGGUGGAGAAAACGAGCUGACAAUGUCACUCCUCCGCCACUUGCAUUUCACGCUAGAUAUGCACCCGAAGACGGCUCUUUUCGCCCCCAAAAUAACUGAGUUGGCUGAAAUACAGUGACACCGUUUGUAGUUUUUUUCCUUUUGCACGUUCAAGGCAAGCUUGCAGAAAAUAGGUCAAACGCCACGCAGAUGUGGUUCAACUGAAAAUGGCUGCCAUGGAAGGCGUGUUUAUUGGAAUGGGGGGUUGCAGUAGCAUAAGGCGAGGAUGGGUGGCGCUCCUACUGUACAUAGGAAACAGCACAUCUACUCAUCAUAAUGUACAACCUCCUUCUUGAGGAUAAAGAAGUUGCUGAUUUCUCCCUUGAACUGAAUAAAUAGAAAUACACAACCCAGUACCUGAAGAUGUCUAUCUGAUAGACUUGGGGAGUUGCAUUACAGUUUAUGCAGAGAUCAUUUUAAGAAUAAAAGCAUGCAGGGUAAUUUUUUUUAAUUUUUAUAAAUGACAUUUGCACCAUUCAUCACUCUUCAGUAUUAACGGAGUUAAUUUCUUGUCAUAUUUGCAGCCUCUGAUUGCUUUUAGUGUCAAAAACCAACGCUACUACUCUCUGCAAUGCAUUGUAUCUCAAUUCUCCUACACUGUUUGUCUCGCAACACACUUGCAGUCAUGUGUCCUUCACAGGCUCUUUUAUAGCCUGAUAUUGCUUUUUUGUUGUUCACAGAUAAGCCUUGGGAUGUAUUUAUGUUACGGUACAGUCGUGGAUGUUCCUGUGUUGAGCUGAUGCACAGUACAGUUUACUAAUUGGAAAAUAAUGAGGGUAAUAAUGGCUAACCACUCAUUAAAAUUCAUCUGUUGAGCCUUUUUGGUUACAGCUCGGUAUUGAACAUGAGUAAAAAAAAAUAUGGGGAACAAUAUCAGGAUAUUAUCUAAUUAUAUAGACACACUUAAUUAAAUAUGUAAAAAAGCUGCUGUUGGUGUAUGACCUGAAUAUCCACAUUAAAAAUAAGCACUUAAUAAUUCCCUCUGCUGAGCAACAUUGUGUUUUUACUACGCUGGCUUCAUAAACAUUGGUGAAAAACAAUGUUAUAAACUAGAAAAACUCCUAAUGCAAUACAGAUAAUGUGCAGCGCACUAACUCUGUACAUUUAAUCUAUUCUUAUGAAACGGGUUGUUAUGGAUGACCUGAGAUUCUAAAUACUUAAUUAGUGUGUAAUCAAGCUUUCCACGGGCCUACUUUGUAACACAGCAAUGCAAACUUAAUAUAAACAAUAAAGGUUUUUUUUCUUUCUCGCUCCCUCUUGAAAUGUUGUAUCCUGGAAGUAAUUAUAUUUAUUUAUCCUCAUUUUUACCCUCUUCUUUUUUUUAUUGAUGUUAAAGAAAGCACAGCAAUAUCUGCUACGGUUCAUAAACAUUCACAGAACAGUAGAAUGAACAUAACAUCACAAACUCAAGUCUGCCCACUGUAUGUCAGCACACUAUUAGCAGCACACAUCCAAUUACAUUUAUGGUGGUAUGAACAACUGUGUUUAAAUAAAGCACUCACUAAUUAUAUUCACAGCUAGGACCAUUCUAGUUAUCACCAUCACUAUCAUCAUCUCCAUUACGGCCUUCAACACUGUUACUGUCCAGACUGUUACUUCUCUGAAGAGCAUCAUUACCACAUUCAGUGUCUUCAAGCUCGCUCAGCUGAGAAACGCCAGAAAGCCAGCUCAUAAUGCAGCGCUCACGCACGCACUCAUGCUUGCGAACAUUUAAAAAACACACAUAGUUCCUCUCUUAUGUGGCAGGACCAGCUGCGCAGUGUACUCUCGGCAUCCAUCCCUGACGGCAAAGCUGCACUGUCAGUUUACCUUGCCCCAGGACAUCCAUGGGACAGCCUAUCAGCCGUCUCCCUUCUGCCAAAGACAUGUAGUCCUGUUUAUCACCUAAUUGACUCUCAGAGGAAGGCUGAGAUUGACAGUGUCGCUCCCACAUCACUUAAGUCCUUUUUAGCCAAGCAAACCCUGCCCGCCUUCACCUGUUAAUAAUACAUCGUGGCUGACUUACUUUUCUGAUAAGAGCCGCUGCACCUCGCACUUUAGUCAAACACAGCCGAGAGGAGAGUCGUUAGAAGCCAAUCACGUCCCCUCAUUUGAGGAGAUGACUUUCACUGUCACUUUUUUUUCCAGUUCUGUCUCAUAUCUUCAAUCAGAAGACACUGAAAGGGUUGAGUUUUGGAGAGGCAAGAGGGAGCAACACUUCCUGCCAAACCAAAACAAGCCCAGGAUUAUACUUGUUUCAUAUUCCCCCCAGUUGUGUUCAAAUGAAGCAGUGCUCAUUUUGUCCAGUGUGGCAGCACAAUUAGGAGGGCUGCUGCCAGCAAUUGACAGAAGUGUUGAGAUAACAUAUAUUGAGGAGCGUAUUUAUUAUGCAUUGAUGGAUAGGAAGACAGACUGGAGUUUUUAUAACAACUCUAAACAGAAACGACAGGAUUGAUUGAGACUAAUUGACAGCACGAGAAAGUAGUGGUGAGAAAAUAUCCGGGUUGAUGUGUGUAAUUUUUUUCCUGCCCUGCCACUUACUUGUCAUUACCUGACAGGAAGCAACUUUCCAUUUUGGCGAUACAUGCUGUGCAUUUGACACCUUUCUGAAAGCCCAGCCUGCCUCUUGUGAUGGCAGAGGAUGGGGUAAAAAGGGCAUCGGGUGGGAGUGCGAGCCAAGAUGGCCCUUGUCCUCGUCUGUCGGAGAUUAUUUUGUGGGUCGCGACUGGCGUGCUGGCAGUUUGUCAUGCGCCACUUGCUGUGAUGUCACUGAGGCCACCCUUGCAGAACUUUAGCCAGCUGGGUGCCGUCACAGAGCCUCAUCACGUCUCAACUAAGCAGUCCAUGACUUUUUUAACACCCUGCCGGGGCAGAGUUAUUAAUAGAGCUGUAUAGUUACAUGAUCACAGAGGAUAUUGAAAAAAUAGUUGCAUUUGAGACUCUGCUCAGAACAGGUAAACAAAUUACACCAGGCGCUCAGAUAAAACUGCUCGCUGUCAGGAUGAGACAGAAAGGGAGGAAAGUUGGCGUAUAAUCAAGGUUGUAAUGAAUAAGUACGUUCCACACAUGCACAAGAGUGAAUCACCUCCCUUUUAUCGCUUGUUUGAUAACACCGUACUCUUUGUCUUGGCUCCCAAGGGUCUUGGGUUGUCUUCCAAGUUUGCAACAAGCCUGCUUCUGUCCUCUGUUGUAAUUCAUUCAGUACCACUAAAGCACAUCAAAGUCUCUCUCUCUCUUUCCUAUGAUACUUGUGUUUGUCAGUGGCUGACAAAAAAAAAAAAUGGGGCUUUUCAUCUUGGAAUUAUUGUCAGGGCUGAGACGCUUUGUAGGAGCUGUUCUCACAUGUCUGCAGCCUGGUGAACAUAUAGCUCUGAUCUCCAGCAUGCAUCCUCAUAAUGGAGGAAAUCUGCAGAAUAUGAAAACUAUCAAGACUCAGAGAUGUAACUGUCAGGGUGCCACAGGGCGUUAUAAAAUCUUUUAGCCAGUUUGUUUGAGCUGUGCUUUACUUCAAACAUACACAGAGAAAGAGGACUCACCUGGGGAGAAAAAAGGUUGUCUGCAGCUGAGACAAUCUGAUUUUCAGCCGCUUCUAUUAUCUUCUUAAGCUAUCGCUUAUUGAGGAUAUCCUACUCACUGCCCAAAGUCCUUCAGCUCAUUAUGCACUAAUGAUCUGUCUGCUUUUUCAAAGUGUCCCCUUUGAUAGCACAAGUACAGACGCAAACUUCUUCACAGAGCACACAGUUCAAGAGCAGAAGAGUAACUUUUCACCUGUGACAAAGAGCUGCUUUCUCAGUGGGCAGGAGAGCAGGAAUGAAACUAAAGAACAGUCUUUAAAAUACCUUCAAAGGAACCAAAAGAAGUGCUCUUAUGAGGUAAAAUAUGUAAAUGUAACCUGCUGCAUCACUUAUUUCAACACACACACACACCCACACACACUCACACUCACACUCACACACAAAUACAGUUGAAGAAAAUAAGCAGCCUGACCUUGUGCAAUUUCUUCCCCUUACCUCCUCUGCAGCUCACUCUUCUCUGGUAAGUUAUGAUUAUGGCACAGUGAAAAUUUCCUUCUGACACUUCAGUGUGAGUGUGUGUGUAUCUGUGUGUGUGUUGGCAGUGUGGAGGUGUGAGUGUCCGUUGGAAAGGGGAGGGGGUAAUCUCAUUCUCCUUUUCAAUCUAGUAAUUAACUUGACAGCAUGACGAAUGGACACGAUCAGCUGUCUGCCUCCAUAGGACACAAAUAUGGCGUAUUACACGCUUCUAUGUGGGAUUCCACCCGGCAAAAAAGACAUUAGAGAAUAGCUACUCAAAUGGAAUCAAGUUGAGUCGAGUUUCGUAUGAUAUUCAGUGUAUCAUGUGUGUUUGGAAAAGCAGCACAGAAAUAGGGAUGGUGCGAGUGAGCAAGGGUCGUGUAAAAACAUGCACAUGCACACUCUGAGGCCGAUGUUCCUGUUUAUUUGAAAGCAGCUCUCUCUUUUUUACUCCCACCAUGGCUCCCCCACAGUCUGCCCCCUGUUAGGCCCUAAUGGCAUAGAGGAGUCGACUUGUCUAAGUAGGGCCUACUGUAUAUCACUGCACUGUCUCUCCUCAUAUCAGUCCCCCCCCCACCCCUUCCCUCUACUCACCCUCCACCCCUGCUGCCAUUAAUCUAUCUCUCCAUCCCUCUAUCUUGAAUACCUGAUUUGGCUGAGAGCUUUGCACUUCACUGCACCGCUGCCUGUUCCUGAGACUUAGUGCAUGCAGUUCACAGUGCACCAACUUAAAAACACAUACGCAUUAUUGGAGACUUAUCCAAUUAUGCACACACACACCCGCAAAAACGCACACAAGAAGGCGCUCUAAAAGCAUGGACUGACCUGCGGUGGCCUUCUGUAUAAUAGCAAAUGCGAUGUGUCUCACUGCUACCUCAUUUUGUGGCUCUGUAGGUCCCCGGUUGCAGAGUCACCUGUAUAGGGUGUCACAAUAAAGCAGACAUGAAAACGUCAGGUAUCCAAUUUAAUUUGUGCAGCUCUACAUCAAAAUGAUACCACAUCAUAGCAUACAGAGACAGUAUCUCUUGAUAAUGUAAUGCAUCAGAUGUAAUCUUGAAAGGAUAUUUUUUUGGGGAGCGUUAGAACAAAAUAAAUAUACAAAAUAAUCCCUUCCUGGCAAAGCAACCAGGCGUGCUCUGGUUACUGAUAUUUACACAGUACAAAAUAAUAACAAUGCUAAUGUCAAUAGAAACACAAUAAUGUCCCAAUCUGAUUAUGGAGCUUGUGUGUAUGGCGAGUAGAAAAUUAAAUUUGAAAUUUGAGAACUUGCCUCUGUCUGUAAUGUAUUACCGUGGAGGGGGUGGGAAUGGGGGGAUAUGGGGGUGGAGGUGGAGGUGGGGGCAGAAUUUAAUAAACCCGCCAAAAAUUUUUAAAAUGCAUAUUGGCCUGAGAUAAGGUGGAGACUGUCGUUUUUUCUAAAGUAAUUAUGAGGUUUUAUUCAUUUCUGUCAUUAGUCAAACUGACAGCUGGUCCCUGCAGGCUGGAUACGUCCCAUUCUCCUGUGCUGCACACCUAUCUGGGAAGGAACCCUGUAAUGAAUGUUUACAACACACAGGUAACAGAGUAAAUAUUGGACUCAUCAAUUACACAGGCUGAGGGAGCUGGCAAUCAAAUCCCAUGAUUAUUGUUACCGUUGGGGGCAACAUGAGCCCUGACAGCAGGCCGGUGGUCACAUACGACCCACAGUGCAAGAAACACAUCCACGCAUAGAUGCUGGAGGAUAGAUAUAGAUUACAGAAAAACACACACAGCACCCUCUCACCUUGUCAUUUUGUGGAGCUGUCUCACCCGUACCAGAUAGGGCAGAAAGGAGCUUGUUAACAUUGUGUUAGGGGGGAGGAAUGGGAGAGAGAUAAUGGGAGAGGGAAAACAACGAAAAUGGAGAGAAAAUACAUUUAAAUGAUACUGUUAUCAACAAGGGCAAGUUGCUCUAAAAGUAAAGGUGGGUAAAAAUUUAUAUGGUUUACAUUUCCAAAAAAAAAAAAAAAGGGGUAUAAAUAUUUAUUACCUCCGCUGUGCCUGGGUUAGCCAUGAUUACUUUCAAAGUAAAUGACAAACAAGGGGCUUUGGUUCUUCCGUCGGUGUAGCCUAAGCAAUCAAAAUUGCUUGUGUUGCUAAAGCUACUGAUUCGGAAGUGUGUCAAAAGUGUCGCUUUAUGCCUCAUAAUAGUCUACAGAGACUUCAUUUGUGGGGUGUUUAAAGAAACUGUGUGUCUUUCCAUAGUGACUUGGAUCCCCUCUCUCUCUAACUUUGUGCUGAUGUCUGUGCCUAUCAUGUUUUGACAGCACCUCUCUCCCACUAUUCCACAUUUUGGACAGCAGGACCCUCGACUCGGAGACGAUAAACUGACACCAUCUCCCAAUUUUACCCCAAAACUCCCUCAUUACAGCAAAGGAUUGCUGAUGGGGCUUUGGAAGCAACCGUUGGUUCAGACAAGGUGGGGGUGCCUGUACAAGCUCUACACUGUCUCCGCAGCUUUUUUUUUUUUUUUUCCUUUUUUUUCCUUGGUCAAUUAAAAUGUUCCAGCAUGAGCAAGACCUGCAGGUGCUCACAGACUCUGAUAGCGAUGUUGUUUGUACUUUUGUGGUUUUGGUUUGUUUUUGUGCUCUGCAACCUAAAUGAACAUCUCUUGCAGUUGGCAUUUUGCAGGCUAAGUGUCCCCCAGCAUCUGUUUUUGCCUCUGAAGAAAGCUAAAGGGGGGUUUGGAGCAAAGCAGGUGUCUUAAAUAAACCUUAUUACUAAGUUUCUCCUGUUUAAGCAUCGAUUAGAUUACUGCGACUGUGCUCUCACACAGCUGAAUACGAGGGAGGGGUCAUUAACAUGUAAUUACACAUACCCAAGUAGUCGCAUACAUACACAAACACAGAGAAACUACAUCACUGGCAGCACCACAGCACUUCAGCAUGUGCUCAAAGUCUCCCUCCCACAGGGACCAAUCUAUGUUUUUAUGUUGAACACCUGUUAGCUACUGCAUGCAAUGCAAAGUCUAAGUGGUACACUUGAACCAGGCAAAGUACUAAAAUUACACAAUUGCUUCAGGUCACUGUAUCAGAAAAAUAGUAUUGACCACAAGAUACUCAUCCCGAAAAGUUGGCUGUUAUGGUCAAAUUUGUGAAUUAACUGGAGGCACCCCGUGAAUAGCUAUAAUGACUCCAUAUUAGAAUAGUGGUACAGCUGUGCUUCAGCCAUUGAGUUUGCUAUGCUGCCAAGGGCUGAGAGCGCACACGCCUGCACACACUCGCACACAUGCAUGCAUAGCAAGCUAAUAAAUUGCCCUGACACACCCUUUGGCGGCAGCAGCACAACCCACCACAACCACAUCCCCCUCGCCCACAACCAGUCUGACUCCUAAUUUAGCUGGGUUUCACAGUGAGACAUGGACUCUCCCAUGCACACUCAAUUUCCAAGGCAGGAAGCAAGGGGCUGGGAAGUGAAGGUGGAUGUCAUACAGAGGCGUUUCAAUAAACUGGAAGUUGGAUUAAACUUUUUGCACUUUCAGAGAGAUUAUUUUUCUUGAACUACUGAGAGGCUCAGAGAGUGGCUGGAGGAUGUCUCACGCAAAGAUGGGCACACACGGACUGGACACAGUGGGGACUAAAAGCAUGUAAUUAUCAGUACAGACUUGAUAUCUGUUUUCAAGUGAUGGUUCAACCUGCCUUCUAUAAAGGCAAGAGCACUGCUUAUUUCAACAUUUAGUGUUUAGCAAUUGGUAAGUAUUAGUUGUGAAAUACCACUGUCAGUCCAAGUACAACCACUGACAGGAAAAUGUUGCGUUUCAAGGUAAUAAUAAAGGGAAGUAUUUACAAAUGUGCUCACCUGACAUGGUAUGCAUUCAAAUCAAACAGCCAGGAGAGAUGCUCCUUGUUGUCCACAUAUGUCCGUGUCGACUUACGCUAUUCCACACAGUCUAUUACAGGAGAAUAUUUUGUGCAUGUGCUACAUUUCACACACUGUGUCCUAAUUUUUGUAACCUCCACCUUUUUUUUAAUUAAAAACAACAGAAAAAACAGAGAAGAGGCUGUCCCUAGCUAAAAAAAUCUGCAUCUCAUGGUUGCACAUGCAUGUGUGAAAUACAAACACACAGAAGACCAUAGGCACAUGCACAUCAGCUUUCUGUGUGCAAGGCUGCAGUUGUCCACGCUGAGAUAUUUGUACGAUCAAAGCUCAGCAGUGUUACUUAUAGCUCUCCUGACCUCUGAAAAGAAAUCCAUAUUAUUUUGCAAUUCUUUGUAAUCUUGAUGCAAUGUUUAAUACAGAUGGAGAUUUGGGCACACACUCUUGGGCAGAUUGUCCCCAAAGGAAUUCAUUGUAUUGCACUCAGUUGUACAGACCAAAAGUGAUGAAAGAAUCUAGUAGAUGAAUGAAAAGCAGAGUAUGAGUUCAAUCUCAGCCUUACUUCUGAUAUCUCUCUGCACCUCACCUUAAAUUGGGCAUGACUGUGUUUUUCCUCGUGUUGGAAAGUUACAAUACUUAUUGGACUGAGGAGAUUAAUAAGAGACUCUGGGAAGCUAUGAAUCUACAAAAGAAUUUAGGAAAGGGGCCUUUUUUAAAAAAAACAUAUUUUUGGGAGUUUGGUCAAGCGGCUGACUAUUAAGGCAUACCUUACAUUAUUACCUGCAAAUGUGGACGUUUACCAAUUAAUGCUGCGUUCCAGUUACCUCAGAAGUUGGAUGUUGGAGCUGGGAAUGACACUACACCAGAGUUGACGGCGUUCCAGUUAACAAGUCAAAAAAACACGAUGGAUUCUAAGUUGUUGUUAGCCAUUCUCAGCUGUAGUUAGUUGUUGUUGUUAGCGAUACCGGUUGUAAAUAACGCAUAACACAGUAUUUGACUCUACCAAACACCAUAGCACCGUGUUCACAGUUAGACGUUGGGCAGUACAACAUAUACCACUUGUUUAAUUACACAAAAAAACAAAACAGAAGUGCUAAUGAAUAAGACAUUACAAGAGCUUUAACAGUUACACUUUACUGUUGAUGCACUGUGCUGCCACCUUCGAUAAUGACAUUGUUGUCAAGUCGGGGUAGGUGAGGAUCUUCCGAAUUUCCUGAGUCGGAGAUCCAACUUCAGGGGGGCGUUCCAGAUUAAUUUCCGACUCAGAGCUCGGAAACUCUGACUUCUGAGUACAACUGGAACACAGCAUAAGACCAUCUCCUUUAUUCGUACUCAAAGUGUCUUCAUUUUGACCUACAUUUUCUUGUAAAACGUUCUUAUUUAAAUGUAGUAUAGCAAUCCUUUCAAUAAAUUGCUACACAAUUAUGGGGAUAUGGGGAUACAUAAGGAAAUGAAAUAAAGCUGUAAUUGCUUGUUAAAAGUAUGUAAGUCUCAGAUGUAACAUUAGCAUCAGUGCUACGUACUGCACAAAAAUUGUACACAUCUGUUGUCACUGACUCUGCAUCUCUGGUGUUGUCAGGUGUCAUUAGAGCACAGCUGGCCAGAGCGGUGAAGGGUAUGUGAGGGGAUGUAAAACUGAAGUGAAACUGGUGAGGUGUCAGGCAACUCGGCGUGAAGUGAGAGUCAUAUCUUAUUUUUCUUUGGCAGUCCUUUCUUUCCCUCUUUCCUCCACAUACACUCACACACUUCCUUGUUUAGUGUGGAAAGUUUUGGUGACUGUGCUCAGGGGGACAUUUACACUAAUUUGUAAAUGGCCCGGGUGCAGCUGUUUGAGUCUGAAAGAGUUAAGCAAGAAAGGAGGUCAGGAAAUCAGCCCUCAUUUUUCAGCAUUGACAGUCUCCGUCAGGCAGCGUGAAGGAUGUCUCGUGAGACUUCAGUUUUGACAGACUCAUUAGAAAGCGCACACACAACACUUGUCGAUAUGUAACAUUUAUAUUCUUUUACCACAGACGGCCAUGAUGUCAAUGAGGACUUCUAAGCAUCGUGCCAAAUGUCAAGUGAUAGGCCAGAGUUAAGGGGUAUUUGAGGGCUGGGACUGCCUUUAUAAAUCGAACAGACUUAUACAUGUGUCCGAACAGACACACCAACACGUAUAGAUUUUGUUCCUUUUCUUAAUAUAUUUCUAUGACAGCUGCGUAAGUAACACCACCAGGAGCGUGGACGCCACGAUGAGAGCCAGACCUCAUGGGCACCAUCAUGUCUAAUAAGUUUAUCAUUAAUUGCAGCCUUUGGGGACGUUUGUUCUUGAAUUAAUUAGUCUUUAACAACUCAGGGCUCAGCCAGUUUGAGGGAAUACAACUCACUUAGCAAAGCAUGAUGGCCUGUCUCUUAUUUUAUACUGUUUCUUUACUUUCCAUCAAUCUUCUAAAGCAGCUCAAAUAUAGAGUUUAGUUUUUCAUGGCUGAAAUUGACAGAAACAGACUAAUGAAUAAAGUAAAUUAUAGUGGGGAAUGUACACAUGAAUGGAUUCCUUUUGGAAAUAGUUGCCAUCUGUCCAUUUUUCUAAAAUAUUUAUCACAUGCUCUUGCUUAAUGUUUUGAUAGGACAUUUUAAAGUCUUCUAUAAUUCUCAGCAGACAGUCUGCCAUAGAAUUAAGUCCGAACCUGUUUAAUGUUAUAUAUAUAUAUAUAACAGUAAAGCAGCCUGAGAUAAAGGCUCUACUGUAAUUGGAAAUACUAAUUAAUUUAUAUUCAUAACAGUAAUAUAGGCCAACGUGCAAACUGACUCAAUUUUAAAAUCAUCCUCAAAUUAAUGAUGAACUUGCUUGUAUCAUUAGCUGGGUGUGAAACAAGAUACUAUAAAGUUCACCCAAGUGGGUCAUUUUGCUAAAUUGAACCUUGACAUGGUCAGGUGACCCUAAUACAACACAUUGAAGGACCUGGAUCAACUUGGAGUGGUUCUAUUCAGUAACCUUCUUACAUUAACCCUUGCACUGGAAACCUCUUACCACUGUUUAUUUUCUUAUGCCUACCCAUGAAGCUUCAGUGUCUGUAGACGUAACUGGGAAUAGAAGAAGCCAUGGAAAAAGCAGUCUCAAAACAGUGCAAUUUUUUUGUACUUAAGUACCCGUUUAAGAUUAAUUUGUCAGGGGCUUUUACUUGUUUUUUUUUAAGCUGGCUUAUGUUGUUUUGCUUGGAAAAACAGCAGCUGCUGUAGGCCCCAUGUAAGAGUGUCAAGUGACACUGUGAAAAGUGAGGCUAACCAGAGACCUUUUGUAGCAAGAUAGCUGACAGCUUGUGAUAUUAUUUUUGUUAGGAUUUGACACAACGCUAAGUACUCUCUGAGACCCUUGGGGUCCCAGGGUAAAGUUUCUAGCACUGGGCAGAAAGAGAAACUUGAGACAGUUUCUGUCAGAGACACUUGAUUGUAUUUCCCAAACAUUUUUGCACCUACGGACACAAAAGUACAGAGGAUGUUUUAAUGUAUUUAAUUUACUUUAUUUAUUUCUUUUAAUUUGUUUGAAGUGAUAAGUUAAGAAAAUACAAACAACUAAAUAAAUUAACAGAGCCCAUCAAAGCAGAUAUUUUAUUUUGUCCAGUUAGGUGAACUAUUGGUGUGAGAAUACAGUUACAUCUACUCUAUAUUUUGACUCUAUUUGUGAGUAAAAAGAAACAGUUUUUAUAAUGGGAGCUUGGCAUUUGCCCAAGAGUUGGUGCAGAAAGAAUAAGCAACAUGUAUGGCUGUGUUCAACAAAGAGAAACUGAAACAUGUAAAAAUAACUCUGCCAGAAACAAGAAGUUCAAGGGGAGAAUAAUAAUGGUGGAAAAGAUGGAAAGUCAAGCAAGUCAUAUGUGAAAAGUUUCCUUCCUCACCUCUAUUCGGCACAACCACUUGGGGCGAUCACCUGCUGAAUUCAUGCUCGGUCAACUUUGGAUCAGCAGUCACGUCCGUCCUUUAAAAAACAGCAAGCCAAACAUGGCUAUCAGCUUUCCUUCAGCUGCUGUCUAUCAAUGUCAUACUGGAUCAACAAUGCAGAACCCUUCCUGACUCUCUGCUCCCCUGCUGCACAACUGCAACCCCUCCACCUCUACACACACAUGCUCAUAGUAUCGUCAAGGGCAGGUUGUGAACUCAGGUGCAGUGUAGUUGACUUAUUUAUUUAUUUGUGUAACAGGCUGGGAGAUCAAUAAGGGUAUUCUGCUGCGAAAUAAGGUUGGACUGUCAAGAGACAGAUUAGGGCUGACGCAGCUUGGCGCCGCUCAGCUAUCCCUUCUCACUUGGCUUGUUGUGGGCGCACAAUUGAUCAUGCACAACACACAACCACAUUCUUAUAGGGAUUUACAACAAACUCAAAGAAAAUCACAGUGUAUAUCUGCUCAAUGCCAUCCAUUGUGAUUACAAAUUUAUGCGUAGAGAUGACUGACAAACAACUUUCAGUUAUAAACAGGAUUAUCUGUGAAAAAUAUCAUUAAAUACAACAGCCUUGGAACAAACCCUGAAGAGUACUUAAAGAGAUUUCACUCAUGGCAGGAUUUUCAAGAUUUAUCAACGCAGAUAUGACAAACACAAAUUUCUUGAUACCCCAGGAUAAGGUAUACUUAAAUACUUAAGAGAAACAGAAUUCUGAAGAGUUCUGUGCUUUCACAACUGUGACUCCCUCUCUACACGAAAAAUCCAGACACACAUUUUCUUCCUUGUCUUGAUACAAAAAUGCACUUUGUUUCUGACCUUGACCCUUCUGUUUUGUAAGCUUGAAAUGAUAGCGGAAUGCAAAAAGAAAAUAAUUAAGAUAGCUAAAUCCAUUAAUUUGCACUUUGAUGCAUGCAUGUUAUAUGUGGGCACAAAAGUCUAGGCAAGGAUAUUUGCGCCAAAGGAUUUUUUAAAUGGUAUGUAACUGUGAGCGCAGUGAUGUCAAUAAUCAAACAUGAUUUGGUCAGGUUGUUUUCUUGCAAUAUCUUCACAACAGUAAGUUGUUUAAUAUUCCAGUUAUUCCUCAAAAAACUUGUCUAACUUUUACACAUUUCAAGAAGCAGCAGUUCAUGUGUCAUAUGUGAUAUGCUCUGUGUGUUUCACUCCUAUUAUUGAUGUUUGUUUUUGUUUUUAUAUAUUGACACCAACCUGUGAAUGGGACUGAGGAUGGAAAUUAGCCACCUGGCUAAUCCUAUGCCUUUACAUGUAAAUGUUCCUUAACCCUGAUGCAUAUUGUAUUUAAAAAGAUUUGAAAAGAAAGAAAAAUCCUUAAUCCUAAAUCCUAACCACAAACUUCCAUAACUUGGUCAAAAUGACCCACAUUCAUCUGCAAUAGCUGGAAAAUUAGUAUGGUAACGUAGGCUAUAGUUUGCAGCUGGUUAUGCAAAACAGAGUAAAGACACCUUUGUGAGGCGGAUGUUUGAUCAAAAAGGGGAUUUAGAUUUGUAACUUCAGGUAUAAGAAAAACAUGUGCCCCCCUCUUGGAUACUAAAAAGUCAAUUUAUUCUUGAUGCCAUGGGAACCCAAACACUUAUAUCAACGUUUAAAUUGACAGCUGAGAAUAAAGGGGCCAUCACCAUGACUCCAUGCCCCCCUUGCUCUCCCAUUGUGCACAAACACCUUUCAGUUUUGCUCAGAGCGCAACUCCUGUAAAAUAUGAGCCCUAUCAUCACUGAGGACGACAGGCCAAUAUGUUGGACGCCACUCUCACUGGAGAGACGCAGCCUUGCCUCAACAACCUCAUAACAAUACUCUCCAAAAAACAGUGAAUUCUGAGGGGACGGCGUUUUAGAAGAGAGCUGACUCUCUUCAAAGCUCUUAUUACACUUUUACAUUAAAUCUCAGCUUGAGUGUCAGAUGAGUUUCCAGCCCUCUACUGACACAGAGAGACAUUGUGCAGAGAAGAAUGAGAGAGAGGGAGUGAGAGAGACUGCAUAAGUGUCAAAACAGAAGAAAAAAAAGUGAAAUAAAAGUGAAACUAGCAACUCUUUUUUUUCCUCUUUGCCAGCACAAUGGCACACUCCACCAUCUCUAUUAAAUGGGACUGUGCACAAGAGUUAUCCCUCCGGCCAUUCUGGGGUGAAGGCAUUCUGCCCGAGCCCUUUACUUUGACGGCAAAGGAACAGCAUGUUAUUUUACACUUAAUUGCAACUGUCAGCAGCUAACAUCAGUUGUGAAGGAACAGUAAUGUGACAUGACUACAAAAUAAACUCCUUCCUUCUCAUCCUUUAAAGGACAUCUGUAAGUCCCAUUACCAUACUGUAUGGUAAGCAGGGGAGCCUGACGAGCAGCUUGCAGAACGGUGCAGGUAGUGCCACCUUUGAAAAAGACAAACAAAAUAUAUUGCCUGCGCUGACGAGGGAUGUUAGUGUACAGAGGAGCAUGUGUAGUAGUUAAUGGUAUGUCACUGAUGGGGAGGAGAGGUCAGACCAAACAACUGCAGAGGGAAGCUUACACCAUCACAGAACCCCCGACCCCCCACAACAAAGCCUGGUGUAUAUCAUCAUUUUAGAGAGUGUAGAAUAAUUCACUGGUGGCCACAAUGCCCAUAGCUGGGGCUGGUCAAAAGAGAAAAAAAAAGAGCCUUGGUGUAUCCAUAAAUAAAACCUGCUAGCUAUUCUUUUUUCUCUCCUUUCAUCAGCUACCAUGUUUUGCACAUCUUGCCUUUGAAAGUGAGUUAGACUGAGGUAAAAAGAUGAAUAAAGCAGUGUGUGGACCCAGCAUUAUUCCCUCUGCUACUACAUCAUUAACUACCAGAACAGCAAACAGAGGAUGAACUGAAGUCAUUUCCACUGAAUACUGCAAACACAUCUGACAAAGGAGCUAAAUCAAAGGUUUGCAGAGUGGUUAAUGUAUCACAAUAUGAAAUCCACCCGUGCAUUAAGCAUUGUCCAAGACUAAUAUUCUUUUAGUUAGUGAGCCAUUGAGGGCGUCAGUCAUUCCCCCUACAGAGAGGGGAUCUGGUGGUCAUUGCAACUUUGUCCAGAACAAUGGACCUUUCUUUUGCUCUGACUUCCGAGAGACCCUUAUUUUACUUUUGCAGUAACCCCUGAAGAAAUUACUACUGGUGUCAUGUGUAAAGUCGGGGUUGAAGCCUUCGUUUGUCUGACUAAGCAUUUAACAAUGAGUGUCCAUCUGUGUGAUUUCACUCAUUAUCACAUUUGCAUUCACAGAGACGGCGAGAAUGUGCACAGAGAUCCUGAUGACCAUAAUACAGUGAGUGUGACUUUUGUCUUGUCAAGAUAGUAAAACUGUAUCUCACUAGAAAGGCCCACAAGUUCUCCUUCUAAACAGGAAGGCACCAGAAUCAGAGCAUCAAAUCUUACAAUACCUUUUGAAAAAUGUCUGUUUCUACUGCCAUGGCUUAGCUUUGAAAAUCACAGCCAACAUAAAACCUCACAUAUGAAAACAAGGUUUUCUGUUUGUGAUAGCAUUCCCUCUUUUGCAGCCCUUUCUUCACUGCAUCCCCCCUUUCAGUUUCUGUGUUGGUCUCUUUUGGAGAUUGGUAGUGGGUGGGUUUCAUGGUUUCUUUAGGGCAAACUGAGAGCACAUGGCUGGUAUAUUUUAAGACCAGGCUACAACACACUCUUUUUUGCGCUCCAGUCUCCUGGUACCAUGCUGUUCUUCCAUUGUCUCGAAAUAUCUGUCUUUAUAUUUUUUUAAUGGAAAACUCUUCACUCAUCAUCCAUUCAUCCCUGAGUUGACACCUUUAAAAGAUCACUGUAAACUCACUUCCUAGUUUGAAUUAAAUUUGUAAUUCUUGUAUCUUUUGUGAUUAUCAGUAAGAUUGUUGAGUUUAAAAAGAGUAUAUUUUCUUGUUUUUGUGAACCAAGCAAUGGCAGUAGGGCUGAGCAAUAUGGCCACAAACCAAUAUCAGGAUAUAUUGAGCAGUUCACCUCGAUUGCGAUAAAGGGAUGAUAACUACUCGACAAGCUGUUCCCCCCUCCCACAUUAACUUCGUCUACUUCAGCCACCACUCCAGCCACUACAACUUUUGAACCGUCCUCCAUCUCCUCACCCGUCUUUCCCUCUUUGUUACGGACUGGAUGGGAUGGGGUGGAGUAACAUCUCCGACGUAGGACAACAUCUUAAAUGAGACCAUAGCCUACCUACACACAUCCAAAACCAACCUUUAUCAAUAAUUUUUUAUUUUGACACCCAACAUAUUGACUUGGGCAAAAUGACGUUGGUCGUUUUCAUAAAUUUCAGUAUCUGUAAAUCUUCGGUUUAUCGCCCAGCCCUAAAUGACAGCAUUAAACAGCAGAAACCUCAGCUUUCACUUAUUCUAAUUUAACUAAAUCAAAAGGGUGUUAUUGUACUAGCAGAUAAAUCUAUCAUUGGUUUUCAAUCAUCAGUUUUCUUAAGUUCAAAAAACAAAAUCACACUUUCUUUACUUUGAUCUUGCAUUAUAUAUUCAAGGUACAAGAGUCCCUUUAUAUGUUGUGCUUCCUUGUAUCUGUUGGAGUUCAGUGUGCCAUCUACUUGAAUUAAAAAAAUAAAUAACCUGAGACAUAUGCGUCCUCUUGUCAUGCAAAGUCCACCAAGCAACAGCAUGACUUUGUAUGGAACAAACUGCAGAAACGCUAACCCAGAAUUUACAUGACAACAAAAACAAAGUUUUCAUUGUUAUGUAGGGCUGAAACGAUUACUCGAGUAACUCGAGUAACUCGAUUAAUAAAAUUCCUCGAGGCAAAUUAUAUGCCUCGAGGAAUCGUUUAAAUCCGGAACCAUGUGCAGCGCACGGUGUUUGACACGGACGGUUAUUUCUGUUGCGCAGAAGCGUGCUCUUUCCGCUCCUUCCGCUGCCGCGCGUUUGGUUCAAUCAUGGAGGGAAACGAGGACAGACAGAAGCUGUGUCCGAAAUGGCAUACUGCCUGCUAUCUACUUACCUACUCAAGCAGUAGCUACUGCCUACUGACUACUCAAAGAUGAUUUGAGUAUGCCGCGGCUGCCCGAGCGUUUACACACAUACAUACUAAAUACCCCAGAAUGCAUUUCGUGCCGGCCGGACGCAGCGCCGGGAAAAUUUAAAUAGUCCUACCACAAGCUACAAAGAACGACUGCAUACCGGACAAAUUAUAUAAAUUCAUUCAAUAAUAAUAUUUUUUCUAGCGAGAAAGUAAGUGUUUACAUCACGAUUAUGAGCCCAGUUGUUUGAAAUAGUGGCUGUUUGUAAAUUUGUCUCGGCGUUUUCGGAGACCGAAGCGUCCACUUGGUCGGUGUUUGCGUCUAUUUACCGUAAACACCGGGCAGCAGCAGCUCCCCCUUCACGUUUCCAAAUUAUUGCGAAGUGUUUUCAUAAUCAACAUCUACACGACACAAACCGGGCGGCAGUGGAUGAAAAAAAUCACACAAACAUCCGUGUAUCCAUGGUGAUAAUGCUAUACACCACCUGCUAGGCGUGUGAUGAGCAGCAGAGGGCUGCAAAAUGACCAACACACAACAACAUGUAAAUAAAAAUGUAACACUUUUAUAUAUUGAAUAAAUGUACAUUUGCUUGUCAAAUUAUGUUAGUAUCCAAGAAUUAUAUUAUUUCAGCCUAUUAAUUAAACAAGUAAAAUUAGAUCCAAAGCCUGGAAAUAGUUGUGACUGGUUUAGUGAAAACUGCAAAGAUCAUUACCAUAGCAAUUAAAAGACCAUCUGCAGACCUUGCCUUCAGUAGUUUCAUGUGAACUACAUGGUAAAAUGUAAAACUUUUGGUUCCUGAUUUAUGCAGUAAAAAUAUUCAUUUGAAAGACCUGGCCUAUUUCAGUUUUGUGUGUUACUGAUGGUUUUUAAUGAGGCAAACGUGAUUCAAUGCAAAGUAUUACAGUGAGAGCAAAACAUUUCUUAUCCGAUUACUCGAUUAAUCGACAGAUUAAUCGAUAGAGUACUCGAUUACUAAAAUAAUCGAUAGCUGCAGCCCUAUUGUUAUGUAAAAGCACAAACAUAGGAGUCAAGAUAGAAAAACUACAUAGUAGGGCCAUGAAGCAUGUUUGUUUGAUUAAGCGGUGAAGAUGUUUUCAUUGUGAUUUUGGCUCGUGCUUCACUGUUCAACCUCACUCCAGUAAAAAGGAUAAGCUAAUACAGCUAAAUACAGACUUCAUGUUGUGCUGUGGCGUUCAGCACCCCUGGCUCCAAAUAUAUGGCUGUGUGCUAUUGUUUGGCUGCCAGUGUUGCCUAGCAACACCAACCAAAACAGUUUCUAUGCGAUGCUGUUUGUAUUGACUUGGCCUUCAUGCUACCUUUGCAUAUGAAGGUAACACACCUUAUUAUCAAGAUGUUCUCUCCAUGAAUAACAGACCAAAUAACAUCAGACUGCACUACUGACAUAUUUUUAAAUGUUAACCAUGAGAAAGUUAUUUAAUGUAUCAGGUGCAAAUUCCUAAAACACAUAUUUGGGAAUGCUUCUAGUUUCCAGUGACCCUGAACUUUAAGCCACAGAUUGUGAAUACUAAUAUGCACUGACAGGAUAUAAAGAUCGAAUUCACACUCCCUGGACUUGCAAAAUAUUCAACUGUGACAAGCGUUUCACUGAGGAGGGAAAUUAUGCUCCAAAAAUAACUAAUUUCUUGAUUUCAGGACCCACUACUGACAGAUCCAAAAAGCUAAACAUUUAUAAAUACAUUUGCCUCGUAUCAUGUCCCAAGUAAUCUUUUUUCUCUUGGGACACAUCCGUUUGCACACAGACCCAUAAAUCUUUGCACUUUGUUGUCAUGUGGCAUUAAAGCCAGGGCUUACACAUUUCCAGUCUGGCACCUUUACUGACACAUCUUGGAGAGGGUAGGUGGAUCCUGAUUCCUGUCUCGGCAGCUCUCUUGUUUCUUCUCCCAGCAGAGGCCAUUGACUUCCACAGCAGCAAAGUCUCCUGCUGCACUCGGUCACAGCAGGCUAUCUGGCCACUGUUCAAAGCCUCGCGGAUAGAGAAAAGUCUCUUCCACAGGGUCAGUGCUGCACAAUGUGCAUCUGCCAUGUCUUAAUAUCACUAUAACUCAGUAGAACAAGCUUAUAUGAAUUUCUUUAUUUAACAAAAACUAAAAACCCUCAAAUUUUUGUGAGUUAUUUCCAAAUAAAAUAAGAAAAGUGAAUUAAUUCCUGUUUUUUCAGUGCGAAUUUAAGUGCACAGGCUAUUUCUCAGAUACAAAAGUUAUGGUAGUGCAUAAAGAUGAAAUUAAUUUUCGUCCUACUUCGACAUCAUUACUCAACAAGCAUGAGUUUAAUGGUUAUAGGGCACUGAUGACCAACAUGAACUGGCUUGUAGCACGUUCUCAAACACAUGUACUUCAGUUGUCUGAGGCAGCUGCACGCUGAUAAGGUCUUGGAUUGCACUCAAGUUCAAGUGAACCACGAAAGGCUUCCUUCCUUUGCUCUCCAACCUCCCACAGAGAAAUGGAAAAACCAGAGGGGAAGGCUGGAAAGAGUCUCAUUGGAUGAACCUACAACUUGGGGGUGUACCAGAUUGAUGCAGGCAUAUAGCAGCUGGUCUAUUCUGACUAUUAUACAGUAUUUGUUUCUAAACUGCUUUCAUUUUUCGAGAGGUUUACAAAUCCUCGAUCUCAGGGCAACAGUUUUGGGAUACAUGAGGAAUUAAAUUUUUUGCGAGUUACUUUCGAUGCCUUAGAAUAUCAAAUAUGUGCCUCUGACAAUUUACAAGAGGUCAUGUCUGAUAACCUCGAGUCCUUAUAUUGGCUUUCCUGCAGUCUAACACAGGAAAAACAAUCUAGAGUUAUCUUUAUAAAGUUAAAAGAUUUUAUAGGCUCCUUUUAGGCCUUUAUUCAGAGAAGAAAAGACAGUUUUAAGAUCAUGAAACCAGACUAGAGAAUGUGAAGUGACAAACGGGACAGGAAAGAAGCCAAAGGUUGUAAAAUAAUUAGGUCAACUUGCUUUAGUACUCGUCUGUACAUGGGGUGCAUGACUGAACCACAAGGUAAAACUGGCACCCUAAAUAUCGGGGAUUCUACUAUAAUUAAAAAUUAAAAACCAGCUAAUCUUAACAUCAGAGAUUCACUCUGGUUGUUUUUCUUAUUUUAUGGGAAAAUGACAGAAACAAUAAGCUUUUUGACAAAGGUGCAGAUUGACUAAGAUUUACGUCAAUGUUCAGAGUCAAAAAAAAAAGCGAUGUCUGGCCUUUUCAAACAACUGCAAAGUUCACAUUCCCGCCCCCGCACUAUUUACACAGCUCAGUACAGUAUUGACUUUAACAGUGAUGUAUUGUACAGAUGUGAAGAACAUGACCUUAAAUCUUCUCCUCUCCAUAAGUGUUGUACCUUGGGGUUCAUAAAAUCUGCAGUAUUCAUGUGAAUAGGUGGUCGAGUGAAUGCUCUUCCCAUACGGAUGUCUUGACAUAUAUAUAUUUCCCUAACAGCUUCUACCUGUACUCUUCUUAUCCUCAUCAUCAAAAGAAAACACCUCUUUUAUGGACGGGCAUGGAAUAGUCAUUUUCAGCCCCCUCCUCCCCCUGAAAGCUCUCUCUAAGAGGAUAAAGGCAAGGAGACAUCAAGUCGAUUUGUAGUCGCUGAGUCAUUCUUAUAUCCGUGAGCCUUUUAAUGCAUGGGCAUUAGUGUAUUAAAAGUGCAAACAGCAAAGGGAAAGGGUCAGAGAAAAUCCAUCCGAGUAUAAAUUUACAACUCUCAUGCAUACCUUGAAAAUACACAGUUAUCCACACGUUUACUUUCUAUCAUACCUUUAAUCUAAUUAUUUAAUAAAUCUCAUUCCUGAGGCUGCUAAAACUUAAAGCCAACAAAUGUGGGUCUUUAAACAGGCCUUGGUUAGCGAGGUUUAUCUGGUUAUUUGUCACAGAGAGAAUGCUUUAAAGUUCACCCAGAGGCUGCACCUUGUCUUCUUACUGGAUGUCUGUUAGCCAUUUUUGUUACUUGUCAAAGGUUAGUCUUUCUCAGAAAUGAAUAUGGCCUUUGGGCGAGGAAUCCUACUUGAAUCAGUCUGAAGGAAAAAGGAGGUGUCCUGUCGGCAGUUUAGAGGAAUGAACUUAGAUCUGACAUGUGCUUUACCAAGUUGAUAUAAAUUGUUAGCCUUUUACUUGUCAUAUCUACAGACUCAGAAUAGGGGUGUGUUAGAUUAAAGAGGACUCUGCAACCCAGAGGGAUCAUCGUAUCAGCACAUUCUCUUGACAUCCAUUGUAUGCCCACAAAUGGAUGCAUGGUAACACUGUACAUAAUGCACAGGCCAAGUCCUUGGAUGCAGACUACAGGCAACAACCGGCCCGUCCACACUGCACCAUGAAUGAACUGCAUUACUCAGCUGUCUUGGAAAGACAAUAGUAUAAUUCAAAAGGGAUCCUGAGUUCACAGUGUUUUGAGAUAAAAUGUGUAUGAUAAACCUUGGUUUGAAUAACUCAAGGAUCUCACAGACCCACUGUAAAGAGAAUUAGUAUUUAGUGACCCAUUGGUUUCCAAGUUAUUAAGGUUACAAGAUUGGUGAAUCAGAGGCACAGCUGAUGCGACUAACAGGUGGACAAAUCGUUCCUAUAUGCAAGAUAGGUUGAGUCAGCAAUGCAAACAUGGCAACUGCCGCCAAUAGGCUUCAAAACUCUGCUUUAUGGGCGACCUCACUUACGCUAAAGCCAAUUAUUAAACAAUGUGUGAUGUUUUCUCAUCAUGCCAGAUGUGCUAGAUUACACACCUAGACAUUGUGGCACUCUCUGAGGUUACUCUUGUUUUAAUGCUUCGAUCAAGACUGACAGCAACAGCGACUGAAACAUCGCUGGGAUCCCUUGUUUGUUGUCCUCACUGCUGAUCACUCUGUCAUACUGGCUCAGCCGCUACACUGCCUCUGCUGUUUUUAUACACACUGCACCUCACAUCUGCGUUGCACAUGAAUGGUUAACAGUAAGUAAGGUGAUGACAUUUUUACAGCAGAAUCAGCCUGCAUGAGUACAAUGAUGUAUGUUUAAACGUUCAGUUAAGGCUCGAUUAGUUGAUGAUUUCUUCAUCUCUUUGUUCAACUGUGUUUUCACUUUAAAGAAUGUCACUCUUCAAUCUAACUGUAAAGUGAAAUUCAUCUUUAGUCAUCUGAUUACAAACUGAAUGCAACCUUGGAAACAACAUAUAGUGAUCAGAUGACUAGAAGUCUGAUCUAUGUCAACAUCCUUGUUCAAUGUCAGUUCUACAUGGCACAAGCAGCACACACACACAUAAAUUCUAUCCAAAAAAGUAUAAACAGUCUUUCUUUUUUCUUUGAGCAAAUUUUUCUUUAAUUGGGUAGUAGUCAAUUUUAGUCAGAACUUGGCAAAAUAAUUUCAAUAAUGAACAUGAUAAAGAAUGGUGAUAAAAAUCAAGAUCGUAAUUCAGCUGCACAAAAACGGUGGGAAGAUAUUUUUGCUACAUCCUCUACUCCUUAAUCUGAAUUAUUACAGUGUGCUGUUGAUAUUUAAGCUCUCCUCUUCAGGCCCAGAGCUAAGAUUUAUAUUUUAAAUGUCUGAUGGCAGCUCAACAGUUCGCUGAUAUGUCUACAAGCCAAAGAGUGAGCUUUUCGUCCCCCAUACCUUCAUUGCAGAUAUGUGUAAAAAUGUCAAAUUCUUGAUAAUAGGAAAAUCUGCUCUUUCCGUACAUGCAGCCCACCAGGAAAUUUGGGAGGAUUUUCAAAAGUGCAUGGGUGAAAACCAGCACCACCAUCUCACACAAUGACUAAGGACAGACGGACAAAGACACAAUUGCUGUGUUUUAUUUAACCAACAUGAAAACACCUAGAAACUAGGAACUACUUUUAUUGUGUGUGUUACGUUACUUAAAGGUUACAACAUGCUUGACUUGAAUUUUAAAACUUGGAGAGAAUAUUGUUGUAAACUGCUCUUGAAUAUUUUUUACCUUCAACAGCAGGGUACUUCAGUUUUUUUCUAUUGAACAGUCCUGAAGUGUUUUCUCUGCAUUGGUUUUCAGAAAGUAAUGCUAUGAAUAACAGUAAAACCAUCAAACUUAAUAGAUGCCAAGGUCUUCAACUCCUUAAACUUUAUAAAUCCAAGUAAAAGAAUCAAAUGUUUGUAUCAUGAUACUUUGAUGUUGUAGAUUUACUGAACUAAAAGACCAAAACAGUGGGACUUUUUGUGUGUUUCUUUGGAGAGUGUUAAGGGAGUUCUCAUCAGGGCAGUAGGACAGACAUAAUCUGAGUGUCUCAUGCAGUCAUCAUACUUUUCUUGCUUUACAUUUUUAGAUUUUCCUUGUCUGACCUACAGCAGGCUCACAAAGAAGAAUAGUCUUUAGGGAAAUACUCUGACAUAUGGAAAUUAAUCUUGUAUGGCAGGACGCCUGUGACAAAUUACUAUUGCCCUGAUAUCUAUUUAAAAAGUUUACCCGUCAUGUCACUGCGCUGAACCUAAAAAAAAAAUCAGAGUUGCUCAUAAACACAGCAGUCUCCCUGAGCGGUAAAAUUAGUCAUUAAAAUGCUUGGAGAGUAGUUUGGGGAACAGUCUCACAUGCUGUUGAACCAGUCCAUGUGAAUAAUAAAAACAUCUAAAAACCAGGGAACCUGUUUCCACUCAAAGGGAAGCUUAAACUAGUCAUUUAAAAGGCCUAUUUAACUGUUAUUAUUAUUAAGGAAGAUGUUUUAGGUGUGUAAACUAUCAGGUAGUAAAAUUACUGCUUCUUGGAUUCACAACAAAGUAUCUCAUGUUGCCUCACUAUACUAAAAAAAUCACCAUUAAAUCCAAUCAGAGGAAAGGCAUGAAACUAAGUACACUUUCUGAGGAACUUUUCGGUUCCCACACAUGCUCAAUUUGCACAAAUGAGGCAUACACUAAGCUCCCGAAAAGAAGAAAUAAUUGCCCAAACAAAGAGAAGGAAAAAAACAUCCAAAAAGCAGCAGUAACAACCAAGAAGUAUGUGCUUUAGCCCUUAGACCGUAAAUGUAUUGGGGUAGUGAGAGUGGUAUCAGGCUCACCAUGGCUGAUUACAUAGCUUAAUGGUCUUGGCUUCACCUCAUGUUUUACAAGCCCAAAUGGUCCCAGUGGUCUGAUAAAUCAUCGGCAUAUCGAGUCAAACUGCUCCAAUGAACUGUUGCCAUUCCCAGGUUCCUAACUGACAUACAGCAGGCCAAUAUAAAUACCCCUCUUCCUGUAAUGGUCACAUUUUUUAAAAGACUAUUUUUGCCUCUUUCUUUUAUUAUGGUGAGCUUUGUGAAACAUUGUUCUUAGCUUGAAAUCCUAUCUUUUGAUGCUGGGGACAGGGUAUCAAAACAGAAGGGGGAAAAAAAGAAAUAAAAAAAUAAAAAACAGUACAGCUCUGCUCAGACUGUGUUUUUUUUUUUUUUUCCAGCACAAUGCAUUGCCAAGAAAACGUCGAGUGCUCUACAGGUGGUCUGUGU
rnacentral:lncRNA from 1 species